AUUGAACGCUGGCGGCAGGCUUAACACAUGCAAGUCGAACGAUGAGUCUCUAGCUUGCUCGAGAUGAUUAGUGGCGGACGGGUGAGUAACAUUUAGGAAUCUACCUAGUAGUGGGGGAUAGCUCGGGGAAACUCGAAUUAAUACCGCAUACGACCUACGGGUGAAAGGGGGCGCAAGCUCUUGCUAUUAGAUGAGCCUAAAUCAGAUUAGCUAGUUGGUGGGGUAAAGGCCCACCAAGGCGACGAUCUGUAACUGGUCUGAGAGGAUGAUCAGUCACACCGGAACUGAGACACGGUCCGGACUCCUACGGGAGGCAGCAGUGGGGAAUAUUGGACAAUGGGGGCAACCCUGAUCCAGCCAUGCCGCGUGUGUGAAGAAGGCCUUUUGGUUGUAAAGCACUUUAAGCAGGGAGGAGAGGCUAAUGGUUAAUACCCAGUAGAUUAGACGUUACCUGCAGAAUAAGCACCGGCUAACUCUGUG
rnacentral:rRNA from 1 species